AACGAACGUUGGCGGCGUGGAUUAGGCAUGCAAGUCGAGCGAGGACAGUUGUGUAGCAAUACAUGGCUGAACCGAGCGGCGAAAGGGGCAGUAAGGCGUGGAUAACUUACCCUGGGGACGGGGAUAGCCAUUCUAACGAGUGGGUAAUACCCGGCGAUGUAGCGAGAGGACAUCCUUUUGCUACCAAAUGAAUUUCGCCCUGGGAGGGGUUCACGUGGUAUUAGCUAGUUGGUGAGGUAACGGCUCACCAAGGCUAAGAUGCCUAGCAGGUGUGAGAGCACGACCUGCGCCACUGGCACUGAGACACUGGCCAGACACCUACGGGUGGCUGCAGUCGAGAAUCUUCGGCAAUGGGCGCAAGCCUGACCGAGCGACGCCGCGUGGAGGAUGAAGGCCUUCGGGUUGUAAACUCCUGUCGAAGGGGAGGAAAGCGCAAGCUUGACCUAUCCUUGGAGGAAGCACGGGCUAAGUUCGUGCCAGCCGCCGCAGUAAGAC
rnacentral:rRNA from 1 species